rnacentral:rRNA from 1 species
UACGUAGGGUGCGAGCGUUAAUCGGAAUUACUGGGCGUAAAGUGUGCGCAGGCGGCCGCGCAAGUCGAGUGUGAAAGCCCCGAGCUUAACUCCGGGCCUGCAGUCGAUACGGGCAGACUGGAGUUCGGCAGGGGAGACUGGAAUUCCUGGUGUAGCGGUGAAAUGCGCAGAUAUCAGGAGGAACACCGGUGGCGAAGGCGGGUCUCUGGGCCGAUACUGACGCUGAGGAGCGAAAGCGUGGGGAGCGAACAGG